rnacentral:lncRNA from 1 species
UUGUUAAAAAAAAUGUAUUUAUUUAAUAGACAGAUUAUUGUAAAGUAUUUUGAUACAAAAAAAAUGGUCUGAGUAUCAUGUAUUCUUGUGCCCCUGUUUCUCUGGAUUUGGCACAAUUUUAUUCAGCCAUAUAUUGAUCGUUAUUGGUAUGGUAACAAUCAGAAAAAAAUUGAAGCUGAAGAGAAUAACAAAAAACAGGCAGUCGAUGAUGUAGCGAAUGCAACAACUGAUCAAUCUGAUAAAAUGUUUUGCUCUAUAAAAGGCAAAUGAGAUUAAAUGCCCUUAGACUAAAUACAAACUGAUUAUAAAACUUGUUUUUUUUGUUUGUUUUUUAUUUAAACAACGCAACACAAUGAUACUGUUUUAAUUUUAUGAAAGAAAACGUUGUUCUUCGUUUUCUUUCACUUUAGUUUAUUCUUUCUGAACUAAAAUAUUUAUGUAAUCUUACUUCGGAAAAUUCAAAAAUUCGCUCUGUAAUCAUUUUGUAUAAGUUUUCGGGCUUUAAUAUUUUUAGCUGAACAUUAACGUAUAUGAUGACGUAUAUGCGAUAAAACUUGUUAUAAUUACAAGCCUUGUAUGUACUGAUGUUUGUACUGAAAUUUUAUUUGUUAAUAUAACCCGUUUGUGAUUUUAGUUUAUUUGA